CCCAGUCAUCGAUGCGUUAGCUUGCCUUCCUCGUCGUACAUGGCCGCAAGCUCGAGCUUGGCGGUCCGAACUCCGCAUUACUUCGGGGACGUCGCUAUCUUCUUGACCUAUGUCGGGAGUCUUCUUAGAGGCCAGGGGUGUUUGGUAGGAACCCCCCAUCUUUGUUGGGACGAGGUUCUUUAGGUCUUUGGUGUGGUUCAUCCUUCAUCUGUUUCCGUCGUAGUUCGUCACCCUUCCUUUUUAAUUUUUCUCCUCUUCUCAGAGUGAGGGCCCUCCCCUCGCUUUUUGCGGGGUUGCAUAGGAGCGUGGAGGUGCCGCUGAGGGGCUUUUUCCCUUCAUCCGAUCUUGUUGGGCGGCCGGAUUUCGUCAUCACCAGGACGAGGUUCUCCUCCCGUU
rnacentral:lncRNA from 1 species